UACGAAGGGGGCUAGCGUUGUUCGGAAUUACUGGGCGUAAAGCGCGCGCAGGCGGUCUUCCAAGUCAGUGGUGAAAGCCCGGAGCUCAACUCCGGAACUGCCAUUGAAACUGUUGGACUUGAGUAUGAGAGAGGUGAGUGGAAUUCCCAGUGUAGAGGUGAAAUUCGUAGAUAUUGGGAAGAACACCGGUGGCGAAGGGCGGCUCACUGGCUCAUUUCUGACGCUCAGGCGCGAUAGCGUGGGGAUCAAACAGG
rnacentral:rRNA from 1 species